rnacentral:rRNA from 1 species
CAGUAGCCACGGUAAUACGAAGGGGGCUAGCGUUGUUCGGAAUUACUGGGCGUAAAGCGCACGUAGGCGGACAUUUAAGUCAGGGGUGAAAUCCCGGGGCUCAACCCCGGAACUGCCUUUGAUACUGGGUGUCUAGAGUAUGGAAGAGGUGAGUGGAAUUCCGAGUGUAGAGGUGAAAUUCGUAGAUAUUCGGAGGAACACCAGUGGCGAAGGCGGCUCACUGGUCCAUUACUGACGCUGAGGUGCGAAAGCGUGGGGAGCAAACAGGAUUAGAUACCCGUGUAGUCCCUGUCUUUUAUAC